rnacentral:sRNA from 1 species
CCUGGAUCAUGGCUGCCGCGCCGCCGCUACGGGACCGCCUGAGCUUUCUACACCGGCUCCCGAUUCUCCUGAAGGGGACGUCCGAUGAUGAUGUCCCGUGUCCGGGCUACCUGUUUGAAGAGAUUGCUAGUAUCCUUCCUCGAUGUCCCCGUGUAGUGGAAAGAGCGGAUGGCAGGGUCCCAGAGUGGUGCAAAGGGUUCCUGGGGAUUCUGCUGUCCCUAGGGGGAUGCACGGCUCCUUUAUUAUUGUAACCAGGCGUGGGUGGGGUCUGAAGGCUGCAAUACUGAUGACACAGGGGACCCUAGAAGCCCAGGUGCUCCUGAUGGCAGAGCCUCCAGUAGGCGCCUCCAGGGAGCGUGAACUGAGAGGCCCCAUGGCCUGGUCUCCCUGCGGCCUGGCGCAGCCCUCAUCAUCUCGCCCUUCCCUAACCCGAGCGUGCCGCAGAAAUCUCCCACGAAUCUCCGGGCAGCAGCCAGUGCCUGCUGGAGUACCUCCUGAGCCGCCUGCACAGCAGCUCCGGCCACGGGAAGCUCAAGGUGCUGAAGAUCCUGCUCUAUCUGUGCAGCCAUGGCUCCUCCUUCUUCCUGCUCAUCCUCAAACGCAACUCUGCCUUCAUCCAGGAAGCUGCAGCUUUUGCGGGGCCCCCAGAUCCUCUGCACGGGAACAGCUUGUACCAGAAGGUUCGCGCGGCCGCACAGGACUUGGGGAGCACCCUGUUCUCGGACACCGUGUUGCCGCUGGCUCCCUCCCAGCCUCUGGGGACCCCGCCUGCCACAGGCAUGGGCUCCCAGGCCAGGCCGCACAGCACCCUCCAGGGUUUCGGCUACAGCAAGGAACACGGCUGCACGGCUGUGAGGCAUCAGCCUGGGCAGGCCGGAGGGGGCUGGGAUGAGCUGGACAGCGGCCCCAGCUCUCAGAAUUCCUCCCAGAACAGCGACCUGAGCAGGGUCUCGGACUCGGGCAGUCAUUCCGGCAGCGACAGCCAUUCAGGGGCCAGCCGGGAGCCGGGUGACCUGGCAGAAAGGGUCGAGGUGGUGGCCCUGAGUGACUGUCAGCAGGAGUUGAGCUUGGUGAGGACUGUGACUCGGGGACCACGCGCCUUCCUGAGCCGCGAGGAGGCACAGCACUUCAUCAAAGCGUGUGGACUGCUCAACUGUGAGGCCGUGCUGCAGCUGCUGACCUGCCACCUGCGUGGGACCAGUGAAUGCACGCAGCUGAGGGCGCUGUGCGCCGUCGCCUCCCUGGGGAGCAGCGACCUCCUCCCGCGGGAGCACAUCCUCCUCCGCACCCGGCCGUGGCUGCAGGAGCUCAGCAUGGGCCGCCCGGGACCUGUGACCAACAAGGCCACCAAGAUCCUGAGGCACUUUGAGGCCUCCUGUGGGCAGCUGUCCCCUGCCCGGGGCACCUCAGCUGAGCCUGGCCCCACAGCCGCCCUCCCAGGCCCAUCUGACCUGCUGACCGACGCUGUGCCUCUUGCUGGGAGCCAGGUCUUCCUGCAGCCUCUGAGUUCAACCGCGGUCUCGUCCUGGAGCCCUGCUCCCUCAUCUGGGAUGCCGUCCAGCCCUGUGCCCACCCCACCCCCAGAUGCCUCCCCCAUUCCAGCCCCCGGAGACCCCAGCGAGGCCGAAGCCAGACUGGCAGAAAGCAGGGGGUGGAGACCUGAACGGAUCCCAGGGGGCACGGACAGCCCAAAGAGAGGCCCCAGCAGCUGUGUGUGGAGCCGUGACUCGUUGUUUGCUGGCAUGGAGCUGGUGGCCUGUCCCCGCCUGGUGGGGGCUGGGGCUGCUGCGGGAGAGUCCUGUCCUGAUGCUCCCCGCGCCCCCCAAACAUCGUCCCAGAGGACAGCAGCCAAAGAGCCUCCUGGCUCAGAGCCGUCAGCUUUCGCGUUCCUGAACGCCUGACCCAAUGGCCUGGCCCUGGAGUCUUCAGCUUCAGCUGCUGCCUGGGGCUGUGUGUGCUUCCUGAGCAGCCUCAACCGUAGCUGCUACAGUCUCCAGGCACCUUGACUUGAGAGGAGGGCCCUAGGGCUACCUCAGUUUCCCCCAUCUCCUCUGCCAGAGGCUCUGGCUAUUUGGACUUGAAUCCCUAGGAGGGAUGGCAGGUGGCAGGGCUUCAGAAAUGUCGAUCUCAGGGCUCUCGGGGGGCAGUCCCUGCCUGUCUUGCCCUCAGACAUGAGGUUUCUUGUGUGAAUGCGGAAGCGACUACCAGGUUCUUUAUUUCAUUUUGAUCUCAGCUCCCUCCUUCCCCAGGAGGUCAUGAGCAGCAACAAGCCACUGCUCCCCCGUCCCAUCGGGGUGGGCUAGGUGCUGAGGCUGAGUUUGGUGCACGUGGGUUGAGGGUGUCUUGUCCGGGCUGCCUUGUGCUGUCUGGCCUGAGGCCAUUUCAAGUCUCAGAUCCCCACGUGAUCCUUCCCUGGCUCUCAACUGCUCCUUUAGGCUGUAAUUGCUUCCUACACACGAAGCCUCUGAUUGGAGCCUCUGGUCCAUCUCAGAAAAACCUUCCGAGAGCGCUGGGGUUUAUGCUUUCUGAAUAAACACUACUGUUUACAUGAA